AGCAGAAAAUCAGCCAGGAUUCAAUAUCAAAUAAUCACAAAGAGAUCAGAAGAGGCAGUAAAGGUUUAACUCUUCAGAUCAAGAACUCUGCAACACUCAGGGACAUCAUCUGUGGAACUGCAGCUAACUUCAAGGAAUCGAUGCAUGUGAUGAAGAAUAGUUCUGUUUUCUAAAAUUAUAACAAUUUGAAGAAUUG